UACUCCAACUGCUCUCUUACCCAUAAAGGGGCUGCUUGACAAUGAAGUUUGAUGGUGCAAAAUAAAAGCAUCAAUUGUGCAUGAUGCAGAGUUGACAACUUCUUAACUCAAAAUUCCAAAUUCAAACUAUUAUUAGCAAGUGAUUUAAACCUAAUAGACUGUUAUCCAUGGUAAUGCUGGGGGUGAUACGCAACCAUAUGCCUCUAACAUUAUCCGAUGAAUUCUAGAGUUCUAGGACGCCCAUAUCCACCAUCCCUUCGUCGUCCGUGGGAUCUGGGUAUCAUACCCUUUAGUUGGUUAGAGAGCUCCUCCAGGAAGCUGGCUCAAGCUUAAUACUAAUCGUUUCGGGAGAGGAGCCCCCUUGAGAACCACUAAUGGUGGUUUAAUAUGAGACCACCUAGGAGACUGGAUUUUGAGCUUUAUGACCAAUUUUAUUGACAUUCAAUCUAACAAUGCGAAGAUUUUGAGCAUUGUCAAGGGCCUCCAACUCGCAGCAGUGCACACCUUUCUUAAAGUCAUUAUGGAGGUUGAUUUGUUGCAUACCCAUCAUCUCUUAGCUAACUUAGCCAGUGGGUCCGAGCUGAUUCCCAUGGAACAUGAGGUCCAUUGCCUCCUACGGUUUAUUCUUUUGAUGAUGCUUUAGCCUCUAGAGCCUAUGAUGUUGGGAUUGGGUCUUCUAUCCUCUCCCAUCCCCCUGCAUAGAUUGAGAAAUACUUAUAUCUGAUUAAGUCCGGUGAUGCUUGGAUUAGCUUGAUGGACUGAAUGUCCUCUUUGUAUCCAGAAAAAGAAAGUAAAUGGUAAAGUUAAAAAAGACUCACCUUACCUCAUCUUUUUUCUUUCCAUUUUCCUUUUCAUCUUCUCCUUGUCUUUUUCCUUUUUGUUCAAAGAUUAGCUGCAUUGGAUUCUUUCUUUAGCAUGACUCGCCUUAAAAAAGUUCUAAU
rnacentral:lncRNA from 1 species